rnacentral:precursor_RNA from 1 species
CGUGCUGCAUCAGGUGCUAGUGACUGUGAAUAAAUUGUCAGUCAGGUACCUGAAGUAGCGCGCG